CCUACGGGAGGCAGCAGUGAGGAAUAUUGGUCAAUGGACGAGAGUCUGAACCAGCCAAGUAGCGUGAAGGAUGACUGCCCUAUGGGUUGUAAACUUCUUUUAUAUGGGAAUAAAAUAUUCCACGCGUGGGCUUUUGUAUGUACCAUAUGAAUAAGGAUCGGCUAACUCCGUGCCAGCAGCCGCGGUAAUACGGAGGAUCCGAGCGUUAUCCGGAUUUAUUGGGUUUAAAGGGAGCGUAGGUGGAUUGUUAAGUCAGUUGUGAAAGUUUGCGGCUCAACCGUAAAAUUGCAGUUGAAACUGGCAGUCUUGAGUACAGUAGAGGUGGGCGGAAUUCGUGGUGUAGCGGUGAAAUGCUUAGAUAUCACGAAGAACUCCGAUUGCGAAGGCAGCUCACUGGACUGCAACUGACACUGAGGCUCGAAAGUGUGGGUAUCAAACAGGAUUAGAUACCCUGGUAGUC
rnacentral:rRNA from 1 species